rnacentral:rRNA from 1 species
GUCAACGCCGUGCCCGCAGCGGUGUUAGUACAGGGGGUGCGUGCAGUAAUCGCGUUUACUGGGCGUAAAGUGCGCGUAGGUGGUUAGAUAAGUCAAAUGGGAAAUGCCCGAGGUUAACUUUGGAAUUUGAUUCGAUACUGGUUAGCUAGAGUAUGGGAGAGGAUGGUAGAAUUCCAGGUGUAGCGGUGAAAUGCGUAGAGAUCUGGAGGAAUACCGAUGGCGAAGGCAGCCAUCUGGCCUAAUACUGACACUGAGGUGCGAAAGCAUGGGGAGCAAACAGGAUUAGAUACCCGUGUAGUC